rnacentral:rRNA from 1 species
AUUGAACGCUGGCGGCAUGCCUUACACAUGCAAGUCGAACGGCAGCACGGGAGCAAUCCUGGUGGCGAGUGGCGAACGGGUGAGUAAUAUAUCGGAACGUGCCCAGUCGUGGGGGAUAACGCAGCGAAAGCUGUGCUAAUACCGCAUACGAUCUCUGGAUGAAAGCGGGGGACUCGCAAGGGCCUCGCGCGAUUGGAGCGGCCGAUAUCAGAUUAGCUAGUUGGUGGGGUAAAAGCCCACCAAGGCGACGAUCUGUAGCUGGUCUGAGAGGACGACCAGCCACACUGGAACUGAGACACGGUCCAGACUCCUACGGGAGGCAGCAGUGGGGAAUUUUGGACAAUGGGCGCAAGCCUGAUCCAGCAAUGCCGCGUGCAGGAUGAAGGCCUUCGGGUUGUAAACUGCUUUUGUACGGAACGAAACGGUCCUUUCUAAUAAAGAGGGCUAAUGACGGUACCGUAAGAAUAAGCACCGGCUAACUACGUG